rnacentral:misc_RNA from 1 species
AACAAGCGAAUGAGUCAUUCAUCGG